AGGAUGAACGCUGGCGGCGUGCCUAACACAUGCAAGUCGAACGUCCUGUCUCGCAAGAGGCAGGGAGUGGCGGACGGGUGAGUACCACGUGGGUCAUCUACCGUGAGGUGAGGAAUACCGGCGAGAAAUCGCCGACAAGACCGCAUAGGCUCGAUGCAAGUCGAGCAAAGCUCUUUCGAGAGAGGGAGCGCCACACGAGGAGCCUGCGCCCGAUUAGCUAGCUGGUGGAGUAACGGUUCACCAGGGCGACGAUCGGUAGCUGGUCUGAGAGGACGAUCAGCCACACUGGGAUUGAGAACGGCCCAGACUCCUACGGGGGGCAGCAGUGAGGAAUUUUCGUCAAUGGGGGCAACCCUGAACGAGCAACGCCGCGUGCAGGAAGAGGUUUCGGAUCGUAAACUGCUUUCUCGGGAAGAGAAUGGACGGUACCCGAGGAAUCAGCCCGGCUAACUACGUGCCAGCAGCCGCGGU
rnacentral:rRNA from 1 species